rnacentral:rRNA from 1 species
UACGGGGGGGGUAAGCGUUGUUCGGAUUCAUUGGGCGUAAAGGGUGCGUAGGUGGCGUCGUAAGUCGGGUGUGAAAUCUCGGGGCUUAACUCCGAAACUGCAUUCGAUACUGCGGUGCUUGAGGACUGGAGAGGAGACUGGAAUUUACGGUGUAGCAGUGAAAUGCGUAGAGAUCGUAAGGAAGACCAGUGGCGAAGGCGGGUCUCUGGACAGUUCCUGACACUGAGGCACGAAGGCCAGGGGAGCAAACGGG